UACGUAGGGGGCAAGCGUUGUUCGGAAUUACUGGGCGUAAAGGGCGCGUAGGCGGCGCGGUAAGUCGGGAGUGAAAGCCCGGGGGCUCAACCCCGGAACGUCUUUCGAAACUGCCGAGCUAGAGUGCGGAAGAGGCAACUGGAAUUCCCAGUGUAGCGGUGAAAUGCGCAGAUAUCAGGAAGAACACCCGUGGCGAAGGCGGCUCUCUGGGACGGUACUGACGCUGAGACGCGAAAGCGUGGGGGAGCGAACAGG
rnacentral:rRNA from 1 species